UACGUAGGGGGCGAGCGUUGUCCGGAUUUAUUGGGCGUAAAGAGCGUGUAGGCGGUUCGGUAAGUCUGUCGUGAAAUCCUGAGGCUCAACCUCGGGCGUGCGAUGGAUACUGCCGGGCUAGAGGAUGGUAGAGGCGAGUGGAAUUCCCGGUGUAGCGGUGAAAUGCGUAGAUAUCGAGAGGAACACCUGCGGCGAAGGCGGGUUGCUGGGCUGACACUGACGCUGAUUGUGCGAAAGCUAGGGGAGCGAACGGG
rnacentral:rRNA from 1 species